AGAUUAUCCACCUGUGUUUUGAAUGCACGAUGUUGUUGUUGAGAGGCUCAGCUACUAAAUCCACAAAGUCAUGAGGGAUACUGUGUACAGACUACUAUUUUUGCUGAUGAGGUACAACAUGCGAUGGAGGAGGUGGUAUAGGAGCGUCAAUGGGCGGAAAACUAACUUCACAAACAACUAAUAGCUUUUUGUGGGAGAAUCUUGAGUUCUCAACUAUGACAACCAAAUUUUCGUUGACUGGAGCACGCAACACUUUCCUUAGCUUGGAAAGUCAUGCAGGACCAUCGUCAGUUUCUUAUCGUGGAGCAGAAUAGUCUAAUGCACAACUUCAAGUGGUAGAAAUACAAUACUAAAGGAAAAAAUUCGCAAUCCGAAGCUCGAAUUGCUCAAUGAAUCCACAAAGAUUGUACUACAACUGCGAUGAUUGCAACACUUUUAGGUGGUGUGUUGGUAUUAUUGACCAUAACUCCAAUGUGAGACAAGAAGAGGAAGACGAGGCAAGUAAUGUGAACUUGAAGGAGGAAAUGAAGCUACUCAAGAAGAGAAUCAAACAACAACAAAAAAUGAUGCAAGGAGCAAUAAAAAAUAGGCGUAUUUAUGUUUGUGUUACUUAUUUUUGUAAUGAACAAAUGAAGGAAGAAUCGUAAUGUAGCACCAAAUUUGUAACAAAUAACAUUCAAUAUGCAAUAAUAUUA